CCUUUGAUAGCUCAGCCGGAGGAGCGCGGGACUGUAAUAUGGCGCAAUCUCAUUAUCUCUAUCGUCCCGAGGUCACUGUAUUGACGCCGGUUCAAAGGA